rnacentral:lncRNA from 1 species
UUAACAAUUUUGAAUUACAAAAAACCUAAAGCAGUAAACAGUCCUCAGCGAAGCCGCCUUUUGCCAACCCAACCCUGGAAAGUUUGCAGAAGUGGAAGGAGCAGAAAAUGCCAUGAGAGUGUAACUUUAAAAAGGUAACAACAAAAAAGACACUACCAUUACCCCAAAUAUUUCCAACUAAACAAUCUCCCUAAAAGAUUUUUUUUCCCCCCCACAAUAACACCUCCAAAACCUCCGCCCAGCUUGAUCUUCCAGACUCCAUGGCACCGGGCUGAGCGGCUCGUGACUGGAGAAGGGGCCCGGUACCCUCAGAGUGGACCGCCCUCCUUUGGAUAGCAGAAGCAGGUAUAGUCUGACUCUGCCAGUCCCCGCAUUAAGGUAGGUGUGAGCCCUUUCCCAGCCUGCGAGGGCGAUUUGGGGGGCUUUGGCCUGGCGCCCAGGGAGGGC